rnacentral:lncRNA from 1 species
AUUUGUACGGUAUUCUAAUGUGUGUGUGUAUAAAUAUGAUCAGCAGGGCUAUUAUACUCUUAUGAGUAUAAAUUUUUUUUGUACUCAUAAAUUUUCAGUCGUUGGAUGAAGGGAUGUGUGAUUAAGAUAAUAGUGGUUCUCAAUUAGAAUGAUAGUGGUCGCUUAGGGUUGAGUGGGUGGUUAGUUGAAUAGUAUUAUCUAACAGGUAGAAAUGGUCAAAGAGAUAAAUCUAACAAUCGAAAAUUUAUAAAUAUAAAGGGAUCUAUAUUUAUAAGAGUAUAGUAGCCGGACCUUCUCUCUCUCUCUCUCUCUCUCUCUCUCUCUCUCUCUCUCUCUCUUUAUAUAUAUAAUGAAUGUGUGUGUGUUGGCAUAUAGUCGAACACUUUACAGUUUUUAAUAUAAAUAAUUUUUUCAAACUAAAAUAAAUUCUAUAGGAAU